GUCAAGAUAGCUCAAGGGGUAGAGCAGCGGCGUUUUUAGCCGAAGGUCGCGGGUUCGAAUCCCGCUCGUGACA
rnacentral:tRNA from 1 species